AAAGAUAGAAAAGAAAAGAAGACUCUUUUUCUUUUUAGAUUAAAAUUUCCUCCAUUGUUGCUCUGCUUCUCUCUCUGAUAUUGAUCUAACAUUCUAACUCUCUCUCUCAACCUCAGUCUUGAACUUGAAUAAUUUUUUCUCAUCUGAUCUCAACCUUUCAAGACAAUCUGCUGUUGCUAAUUAGACUCUUAAGGAUUUGAGCUCGGGGACGAUGAUUUACACUGCCCGGCACGAUAGGGGACUCUACUUCCUGACAGAUGAUGCUUCCUCUAGGAAUGAUUAUAGAACUAGCCUUGUCUCUUUAAAUUUUUAUAUUUCUGAGAAUGAUUUUCUGUUAUGGCAUUACCGCUUAGGACAUCCAAACUUUUAAUACAUAAAAUUCUUAGUUCCGCAUUUAUUUCGCAAUAUUAAUAUGUCUUCUUUAAAUUGUGAUGUGUGUAUUCGUACCAAACAGUGUCGUGUCUCCUUCCAUUCCCAGCCCUGUAAACCAUCCAAACCCUUCACCUUAGUUCAUAGUGAUGUUUGGGGUCUCUCACCAACCAUUACCUCCACAGGAAAACGUUGGUUUGUCACUUUUAUAGAUGACCACACUAGGCUUACUUGGGUAUUUCUUCUAACUGAUAAGUCCGAAGUGUUAUCUGUAUUCCAGAAAUUCUAUACCACUAUGGGAACCCAAUUUAGUGCCAGGAUUGGUAUUUUGAGAAGUGACAAUGGGUGGGAAUUUUUAACACUUCCUUCCAGGAGUUCCUUGUAUUCAAAGGGAUUUUCCACCAAAGUUCGCGUGCCUACACUCCCCAACAAAACGGGGUAACCGAAAGAAAAAAUCAUCAUUUGGUGGAAAUUGCCAGGUCCUUGAUGCUAUCCACAUCACUCCCAUCUUACCUAUGGAGUGAUGCCAUCCUUACUGCUGCUCACUUAAUCAACCGAAUGCCUUCCCGAGUCCUCAACUUUCAAAACCCAUUAGACAGUUUGAAAGAGUUAUACCCCACUAUUCGUUUAGUCUCCGAUGUACCACUUCGGGUUUUUGGCUGUAUUACUUUUGUUUACUCCCAUGGUCAAAACCGCAUGAAAUUCACCCCCCGUACUAAAAAAUGCGUCUUUGUUGGGUAUCCACUUCAUCAACAUGAGUAUAAAUGUUACCACCCAUCGUCUCGCAAGUAUUUUGUUUCUAUGGAUAUCACCUUCCUUGAGGAUCAGCCCUUCUUCCCUGUUAGCCAUCUUCAGGGAGAGACAUCUAGUGAAGAGACUAACUAGUCCACUUAUACAGUUCCCUUGGAGUUCCCGAACAUGUCGGUCCUAUCCUCCCUACCAAUCAAGUCCCAUGGAUAACAUACUAUAGGAAGAAUCUCAUGAAGGAAGUAGCGUCACCUGUUGCAUCUUCGGCUCCAGUCCAUGAGUCAAACCCGACAUCAGGUACGUGUAUUCCUGAAAUUAAUGAGAUUGAUACUUGCACUGAGACUAACGAGAGGAAAAGGGGGGAAAAGGUGCUGAUAACACCACUAUAGCAGAUGGGAAGACUACAGAAAAUAAUGUUUCGAACACAACUCUAGAAAAUGUGAGUGAUACUAGAGAUAAUCGUGAAAAGGUGAUAUCUGAAGAUGAAAACCAGGCAAAGGAGACUAGGGAUCACAGUGAAAAUUCUAACAGACUGAAGGAGCAUGAUGCUUCUCUUGAUCUUCCAAUUGCCCUAAAGAAAGGUAUUAGGUCAUGUACAAGGUACCCUAUGCAUAGUUACAUGACCUAUAGUAACCUGUCAUCUGAAUUUAGGGCGUUUACCACCAGUUUAGAUACAGGGGUGAUAUCGAGUAACAUACAGGAAGCAAUAGGAACUAAAGUUUGGAAGGUUGCUGUUAUGGAGGAGAUAAGGGCUUUUGAGAAAAAUGGAACAUGGGACCAGGUGAUCCUACACAAAGGGCACAAGAAAGUUGGAUGCAAAUGGGUUUUCACUAUAAAAUACAAGUCGGACGUGACUGUUGAUCGGUACAAGGCCAGACUAGUUGCCGAAGGGUUUACCCAAACCUUUGGGGUAGAUUACUCCGAGACAAUUCUCUCUCAGGGCUAAACUCAAUACUAUCCGAGUUUUGCUAUCAGUUGCAGUUAAUAGAGAUUGGCCUCUGCAUCAACUGGAUGUAAAAAAUGCCUUUCUCAAUGAAGAACUUGAGGUGGAAGUCUACAUGAAUCCUCCCCCCGGAUUUGAAGAUUAGUUCAAACAGCGAGUUUAUUGGCUGAGAAAGUUGUUAUAUGGGUUGAAACAAUCUCCGAGAGCCUGGUUUGACAUAUUUGCCACCUUUGUCAAAGGACAAAGGUAUACCCAAGGGAAUUCAGAUCACAGACUAUUUACAAAGAAGUCAACUUCAGGGAAGGUUUUCGUUCUCAUUAUGUAUGUUGGCGAUAUUGUGCUCUCCGGUGAUGACGAUGAUGAAAUUGUGAAACUCAAAGCGAAGAUGGCCAAAGAGUUUGAAAUUAAAGACCUUGGGAAGUUAAGAUACUUUCUUGGAAUGGAAGUAGCCCGGUCAAGGGACAGAAUCUCAAUGUCCCAACGGAAAUACACGAUUGAUCUUCUAACGGAAACAGGAAUGACUGGGUGCAAAUCUGCUGACAGCCCAAUUGAAUAUAAUUCAAAGCUCAGCAAUACCAGUAACAAUGUCCCGGUCAAUAAAGAAAGGUAUCAGCGGUUAGUUGGAAAAUUGAUAUACUUAUCUCAUACACCUGAUAUUUCAUAUGCAGUGAGUGUUGUCAGUUAGUUUAUGCAGGCUCCUUGUGAGGAACACAUGACAGCAGUUGAAUGCAUUCUAUGAUAUCUGAAAGGUACACCAGGUAAGGGGUUAAUGUUCAAGAAGUCUGAUAAAUGCUGCAUUGAAGCCUACACUGAUUCUAAUUAGGCAGGGUCUAUUGUUGAUAGAAAAUCAACAUCAAGGUAUUGCACAUUUGUUUGGGGUAAUCUAGUGACUUGGAAGAGCAAGAAACAGAGAGUUGUGACCAAAAGUAGUGCGGAAGCUGAGUAUCGAGCCAUGAGUUUAGGGAUAUGUGAAGAAAUCUAGUUGAUGAAAGUGUUGUUAGAUCUUCAUCAAGACAAUGAGCUCCCAAUGAAACUAUUUUGUAACAAUAAGGCAGCAAUAAGUAUUGCAAAUAAUCUUGUUCAGCUUGAUAGAACAAAACACGUUGAGAUCGACCGACACUUCAUCAAGGAAUGACUUGACAACGGAAGUAUAUGCAUUCCUUAUGUUCCCUCAAAUCAGCAAAUUGCAGAUGUGCUCACAAAAAAGUUACUGAGACUAAGCUUUGAUUAUUGUAUCAGCAAGUUGGGCCUUAUUGAUAUUUAAGCCCCAACUUGAGGGGAGUGUCGAAAAAACAACUUGUAACCCUAGGGGUAUUUUAGUAAUUGUAUGUACCCUAGGGCUUUCCACUAGUCUAUUUAUUUGGCCUAUUCUCUUGUACUUUGUGUACCAGAAUUAAUAAUAAAAAACAAUAUCUAUCGUAGUUUUUUCUCCCUGUUUUAGGAUUUUCCACGUAAAUCUUGUGUUCCUUUCUUCCUCUUUUUUCGGCAUAUAUAUAUAUAUAUAAGCAACAAAUAUUUGGUCAUGUCAAAUUAAGUAACAAAACAGAAGCUAAAUCCAAAAGCAAAGAUUUGGUCAAGUCAAAUCUUAAAUAUUUUGAUAAUUAAGCAACAAAACAGAAAGACCAGAGGAGCAUUAUGUUUUACAAAUAUGCUUCAAUGUUGAAGUGCAAGAGGAAGUGUCGAGAGGCUUGUACUAACCAGGUAAGGCAAUAAAAGCAUUUGAAUGCAUGAGGCAUCUAUUCAAUAAGAUAUAUAAAACAACAACAAGCACUCAGACCAACGUAGCUAAGUACUUCUCAACAUCAAUAAAAAAAAAAAAAAAAA